UUNUUUUUUUUUUUUGCAUUUUAGGGUCUCACCCAUGGCAUUUGGAAGUUUCCAGGCUAGUGCUGAAUUGAAGCUAUGGCUCCGGGCCUAUGCCACAGCCACAGCAACGCAGGCUCCAAGACACAUCUGCAACAUACACCACAGCUCAGGGCAAUGCACUGAGUGACGCCAGGAAUGGAACCUACAUCCUCAUGGAUCCUAGUCAGGUUUGUUUUUUUUUUUGUUUUUUGUUUUUUGUUUUUUUGUCUUUUGUCUUUUGUUGUUGUUGUUGUUGUUGCUAUUUCUUGCUAGUCGGGUUUGUUAACUGCUGAGCCACGAAGGGAACUUCCUUUUACCUCCUUAUUAAUCAGAAAUUCCAAGGCACUGAUUUCAUCCAUUGUAACAUCCUGGCCUCCCAGCGCCCCUGCCUCUGAGCCCACAAGCCAAACUAGGGCUCCAAAGGGGCAGCCUAGGGGUGAAUGCCACCUCUUCCCCACCCACUCAACUCUUGCCAUCUCCAUAAAAGACAGAAUAUCAAGACAAAGAGGAAAUCAUGUUACAACCCUUAUUCUAAUGUUGACAAAUUCCAGAAAAAGAUCAAAUUUCCAACAAAGCCAAUGACUCGAUCAACCUUGAUCCAAAAACAGCAAAGAGAAAUCUAUCCUCUGUGACAAGGGGACUCCAGAAAGCCCUCUGGCUAAGAACCCCAUCUUUGUAUUGCCCUAUUGGGCAAGAUGCUAGGAUUACUUCUUGGUUACAGUUUUUCUGCAUUUUUCAAAGCUGUUGUGCAUGGGGCAGGGGUGGGGGGUUGGCUACAGAGCUCUCUCUUGGACUAGGAUCCAGAGAAAUGGCAGCUUAAUUUGCCACAGUUUUGCAGGACAAAUAUCAAAAAACUUUCCCAGGCCUGUCUGCAGCCACGAAAGUAGCCACAGCAACUCGGGAUCCGAGCCGUGUCUGCAACCUACACCACAGCCCAUGGCAACACCGGAUCCUUAACCCACUGAUCGAGGCCAGGGACCGAACCCGAAACCUCAUGAUUCCUAGUCAGAUUCGUUAACCACUGCGCCACGACAGAAACUCCUAUUUUUGCCUUUUUCUAACUUUUCUAAUGUCUGCAAAUUUGUCUCCUGUGUGGAUGAGAACUUGGCCUGCAAGGGUGACAGACUAAAGUGGUUUCCUUCUCCCCUUCCAACCCACCCAAUUCCCCAAUCAAGUUUAUUUAUUUCCCGUAAUGGGACAGGAUAGGACCGUGCACUUUAUUUUAUUUAUUUAUUUUUGGUCUUUUUGCCAUUUCUUGGGCCGCUCCCGUGGCAUAUGGAGGUUCCCAGGCUAGGGGUUGAAUCGGAGCUGUAGCUGCCAGCCUACGCCAGAGCCACAGCAACGCGGGAUCUGAGCCGCAUCUGCAACCUACACCACAGCUCGUGGCAACGCCGGGUCCUUAACCCACUGAGCAAGGGCAGGGAUCGAACCCCAAACCUCAUGGAUCAAACCCCAAACCUCAUGGAUCCUAGUCGGAUUCGUUAACCACUGCACCACGACACAGGACCCGAUGAGGGAUUUUCAUUUGUUUCUAAUAUUUCUGGCUACAUUGCUCAUAGGAACAAAGGACAAAUGACCCAGUGGACUAUUACUACACUUCAUCUUGUCCCUAACAAAAUACAAUACUAAUUUGAAAAGCACAAACAGGAAAUAAAAGAAAUUUAAAUUUAAUAUUUGGUUAAAAAAGUACAGGAGUUCCCACUUUGGGAACCACUGCGCCACAACGGGAACUCCAGGACCGUGCACUUUAAAUAUUUUUAAUUGAAUUGAGUCGUAUGUUCCCCACCUAGAUUUAUAGUCUAUUGACUAGGAUGCUUUAAGUUUCUUGCUCUCAAAGAAAAUAGUAAAUACACAUGGGCAGCGCCAUCGGUCAAUUAUUUCAGUGCAUCGUUCACAUGUUAUAGGAAAAAUCGAAGUCCGAGGGGAUAGCAGUUGGAUUUCAGAACAGUAGAAAGCCCACACCCAUCUUGAACUUCAAAAUACCUUCCUUGAA
ensembl:lncRNA